rnacentral:lncRNA from 1 species
UGACGAUCCUACUGAGAGGCGUGUAAGCUUGGAGCGCCUCCUUCAGGGCAAAAAUAAAGACAAGAUUAGCACAUUUGUUUGUUUAUUUGUGAAUAUAAUAUCAGCGUUUUUAUAAGUGGAAUGAAUGCCGAUACAUAUGUAUAUAAGGCCAAUAUUGGCCGAAAAUAUGGCUAAACUGAUUUAUUGUUUGGCCUCUAGUGGUCAUAGUGCUGUAGUGGGCUGGGAUUGGGAGAUCAUGAGGGACUCUCAGUGAGAAGAGGAGACUGGCGUAACCAUGGUUGCACUUGCAACCACUUAACACUGUCACUCACACUAUCAUCAACUCUGGUAUUCACAUCACACCGCAAUGCUAGAAAUGCAGUCUAGAGGGGGAAACAUCGAUUACAUGAGAGAGGGAGAGAGAGCCAACAAACCAAAAAGAAAGAUGGACAGCGAGAAAGCAACAGAAGCAGAAUACCUCUGUUAGUAAGAGACUGUGCUUGUAUUGUUCUCUGUAUCAAUGAUCUACAGAAGAGAGUUCUGACUCUCUACCGUGUGUCCUAAAUGGCACCAUAUUCCCCAUAGUGCACUACAUUUAAAAAGUAGUGCACUAGGGAAUAGGGUUCCAUUUGAGAUGCCUCCUAGGUUGUCCUCAAGGGAUUGGCUAUUGGCUGUGUGUGAUCAGUCAGUCAGACCAGGUAGGUAGGCUAGAGACUCGAGAGGUACGGAGGCUAGAGGCUAGGUGUGGUCAGUCAGUCAGACCAGGUAGAUAGGCUAGAGGCUAGAGAGGUACGGAGGCUAGAGGCUAGGUGUGGUCAGUCAGUCAGACCAGGUAGAUAGGCUAGAGAGGUACAGGGAGGCUAGAAGCUGUGUGUGGUCAGUCAGACCAGGUAGGUCAGGCCUGGGCAAUUAUUUUCCAUGGAGGGCCACAUUAGAAUAUAUUUUUGCCAUUGCGGGCGAGAAUCAUACUACAGGAUUAUACAUCAUGUGUAUGACUGUGUUGACAGAUAUAUCUACUGUAAAUCACGUCCAGAUAUGCUACUUAUUUUACUUUUUUAACAUGCACAGAAAUAAACCACAUCCAUGUUCUCCUUUUGGGAGUCAUUAUUAAACAUGCAAUGAACUACACGGAGGGAAAGUGCACUGCACUUUCAGCACCAUGGACAGAACUCUUGUUAGCGGGUAUGCACAAAAACACAAGAGAGAGCUUAAAGUUACAUUUAAACUACUCAAUCAGUGUGAGGAGUGAAGUCUCUGAUUGGCAUUGACUAGAACAGUGAAGUCAGGUAUAGUUUCUGACGUCGCUAUGCGCAGGAUUGCUAAGAAGUGCGAGUCAGUAAGAGAUGAUUUGUGCCUUGACUUGUC